CACGUAGGGCGCGAGCGUUGUCCGGAAUUAUUGGGCGUAAAGAGCUCGUAGGCGGUCUGUCGCGUCGGCUGUGAAAACCCGGAGCUCAACUCCGGGCCUGCAGUCGAUACGGGCAGACUGGAGUUCGGCAGGGGAGACUGGAAUUCCUGGUGUAGCGGUGGAAUGCGCAGAUAUCAGGAGGAACACCGGUGGCGAAGGCGGGUCUCUGGGCCGUUACUGACGCUGAGGAGCGAAAGCGUGGGGAGCGAACAGG
rnacentral:rRNA from 1 species